rnacentral:rRNA from 1 species
UUGGAGGGCAAGUCUGGUGCCAGCAGCCGCGGUAAUUCCAGCUCCAAUAGCGUAUAUUAAAGUUGUUGCAGUUAAAAAGCUCGUAGUUGAAUUUCGGGGUCAGUAGGUCGGUCGUGCCACUGGUACGAACUGGUUUUACUGAUUCCUCCCUCUUGAGGAACUGUAAUGCCAUUAAUUUGGUGUUGCAGGGAAUCAGGACUGUUACUUUGAAAAAAUUAGAGUGUUUAAAGCAGGCUUUAGCUUGAAUACAUUAGCAUGGAAUAAUGAAAUAGGACGUUUGAUCCUAUUUUGUUGGUUUCUAGGAUUGACGUAAUGAUUAAUAGGGAUAGUUGGGGGCAUUAGUAUUCAAUUGUCAGAGGUGAAAUUCUUGGAUUUAUUGAAGACUAACUACUGCGAAAGCAUUUGCCAAGGAUGUUUUCAUUAAUCAAGAACGAAAGUUAGGGGAUCGAAGACGAUCAGAUACCGUCGUAGUCUUAACCAUAAACUAUGCCGACUAGGGAUCGGAUGAUGUUAAUUUUUUAAUGACUCAUUCGGCGCCUUACGGGAAAC